UUGCGUCAUUUCUAAUUGUGA
rnacentral:piRNA from 1 species